rnacentral:rRNA from 1 species
AAGAUUAAUACCCGAUGGCAUAGUUCUUCCGCAUGGUAGAACUAUUAAAGAAUUUCGGUCAUCGAUGGGGAUGCGUUCCAUUAGGUUGUUGGCGGGGUAACGGCCCACCAAGCCUUCGAUGGAUAGGGGUUCUGAGAGGAAGGUCCCCCACAUUGGAACUGAGACACGGUCCAAACUCCUACGGGAGGCAGCAUG